UUUACUGAGAGUUUGAUCCUGGCUCAGGAUGAACGCUGGCGGCGUGUCUAAGGCAUGCAAGUCGUACGUGUUCCGCAGCAAUGCGGAAUGCGUGGCAAACGGGAGCGUAACACAUUGGUAACCUACCCUUGAGAUGAGUAUAACCCCGCGAAAGCGGGGAUAAUCCUCAAUGAAAGUGAGGGGUCUUAAGACAUUCUCACUUAAACCCGCCGCAAGGCGGGGCUCAAGGAGGGGCCUAUGUCUCAUCAGCUUGUUGGCAGGGUAACGGCCUACCAAGGCUAUGACGAGUACCGGGUGUGAGAGCAUGACCCGGCUCACUGGGACUGAGACACUGCCCAGACUCCUACGGGAGGCUGCAGUCAAGAAUAUUCCCCAAUGCGCGCAAGCGUGAGGGAGCGACGCCGCGUGCCGGAAGAAGCCCUUCGGGGUGUAAACGGCUUUUAUGAGGGACGAACAAAUGACGGUACCUCAUGAAUAAGGGGCUGCUAAUCUCGUGCCAGCAGCAGCGGUAAUACGAGAGCCCCAAGCGUUAUCCGGAUUUAUUGGGCGUAAAGCGUCGGUAGGUGGUGUAACACGUCUUUUGUUAAAUCCUGAAGCUUAACUUCGGGGCUGCGGGAGAUACGGUUACACUUGAGGCCGGGAGAGGCAAGCGGAAUUGCUGGUGUAGGGGUUAAAUCCAUUAAUAUCAGCAAGAACACCAAAUGCGAAGGCAGCUUGCUAGAACGGAUUCUAACGCUGAACGACGAAAGCGUGGGGAGCGAAUGGGAUUAGAUACCCCAGUAGUCCACGCCCUAAACUAUGGAUGCUAAGUAUUGGCAGUAUCGACCCUGCCAGUGCUGUCUACCUAAGGAAACCCGUUAAGCAUCCCGCCUGGGGAGUACGGCCGCAAGGCUAAAACUCAAAGGAAUAGACGGGGACCCGCACAAGCGGUGGAGCAUGUGGUUCAAUUCGACGAUAAGCGAGGAACCUCACCAGGGUUUGACAUCCAGCUGCAUGUCCCAGAGAUGGGAAGGCCUUCGAGGGUGCUGGACAGGUGCUGCAUGGUUGUCGUCAGCUCGUGUCGUGAGAUGUACCGUUAAGUCGGGAAACGAGCGCAACCCCUAUCCUAAGUUUCAUGUGUCUUAGGAAACUGCCCAGCCCUAAGCGUACUGCGUACGCAAAUUAUCAAUUAAAAAUUACGAAUUAAAAAUUAAAAUUCGUAAUUGAUAAUUCGUAAUUGAUAAUUGAAGCGCGAAGCGCGUUUGGGGCUGGGAGGAAGGAGGGGACGACGUCAAAUCAGCAUGGUUCUUACAUCCUGGGCGACACACGUGCUACAAUGGGAGGUAUAAUGGGAAGCCAAGCCGCGAGGCGGAGCAAAUCCUAUAAAACCUCUCUCAGUUCGGAUUGGAGUCUGCAACUCGACUCCAUGAAGCCGGAAUCGCUAGUAAACGCGCAUCAGCCAUGGCGCGUUGAAUACGUUCUCGGGUCUUGUACUCACCGCCCGUCACACCAAGAGAGUCGGGGGCACCCGAACCCCGCCCUUUUGGCAUUAGCUGUGAUAUAAUUAAAUAUAUGUAUUAUGUUUAUUAUUUACACAGUCU
rfam:Candidatus Falkowbacteria bacterium RIFCSPLOWO2_02_FTLL_45_15 rifcsplowo2_02_scaffold_3461, whole genome shotgun sequence.